rnacentral:misc_RNA from 1 species
UAAACAUAGCAGUGGUGGUAGAAUCUUUUGAUCCUGGUUCCUUUGGUUGUAGACUCCUGCUCCCAUCUCCUGUCGUCUUAUAUGAUCCCUGUCAAUAUUUUUUUUUUCUUUUUUGUAGAAGUUGGCUAUAAAACAUUUUGGACUGGUUGAAUUCUUCUUGGACACAACUUGAAGCCAGAAAUUUUAAAUUUAUAAACUUGGAUUUAUUAUUACAUUAUAGCCGACCCCAACUGGUUUGGGAUCAAGGCUUAGUUGUUGUUGUUGCUAUUGUUAUUAUUGUUAUUAAUUUUUUCAAGUUCAUGUUGGGAAACUAUUUUUAAUGUAAUUCAUCUGAGAAGGUAUUAGUUGUUGGCCUGAAAGAAAAGCACUUAUAAAGCAAGACAAGGGUUUUCUCAAUAUAGUUGAAAUUAUUUUAUUUGAAAUCUGAAUUGGCUGUUGAGAUAGGAAAGACAAUCAUUUAUUGUUCAAUCUG